rnacentral:lncRNA from 1 species
GCAGUUGUGACUAAACAUGAAAAUAUACUGAUAAAUGAAAAAGAUGCACACAAUCUACAUCAAACUGCUAAGUAGCAAUUAUUUUACUAUCCAAAAAAGAAUGAAACGCAGAAAAGUAAAUCAUGCCAAAUAUCUAUAUCAUAAUUACUAUCCAUAAGUUUAUCACGCCAACACACUAAACAAUGCAUGUCAUAUUGACUAAUUUGUAAAAUAUGAAGCCCUAAAAUAUCUAAUUAACAAAUCAUAAUUCACACUGAUAUUUUAGGGUCCUUAUCCUCAUAUGUAGCGCACGAUAUCAUGUCUCAGACUAAAACUUCAAAUAAACAAGUCAGCAGGAAAUUCAUGCAACUUUCUGAAACAAGGCAAAGCUUUCAGUCUAAAAUAUUAACUAAAACAAGCCUCGUACAUGAAAGGAAAAAUAUCAAUGCAGGUAAGAUGUAACUGUAACUCAAAUCACAAGAUAGUGAUGAUCUGGGGAGUUCCCAAAUAAUCAAUAUCUUUACAAAAAUUGCCUAUUUGUAAGUGGCAACUCACGUCUAAAAUACUAUAAAAUAAAAAAAUAAAAGAACUCUCAUCUAAAACAUUAAAAGCUUGAUGCCAUAAUACAGCAAUCACAAUAACUAUGACUCAACCCCAAGCUAGUUGGAAUUCUAAAUGUCCAUGUCACUCACAUUAGACCCAUCUCAAGCCAAUGUUUAAAAAGUUAAGUUCUCUAGAACUAGAAGUUAUCUACAUUCUCUACUGGCAUACAAAUAUCUAGAAGACUAAAAGAUUCAUUUCAGAUAUUGGACCUAAAGUAAUGUACCAACAUGGCUAAACCUUCAUCCCAACUAAUUGAUAUCACCUAUAUGGCUCCUUUUCUUCCGUUAUGCCAUAUUUUUUGCCAACUAGAUAUGGAUUUCAAGAGAUUGUAGAUCUUUCACAAAAUUUCCUUCCAUGUAAUUUUAGGUCUACUAUCCCUUUUAAACAACUUCAAAUACCAUGGUUUUACACCUACAGACCGGUGCUAAGGGGGGCCGAUGUAGGUCAUGACCAAACUAUCUCAAAGACCAUCUAAUAUUUUAUCUCAUUUUUGAUAUGUCUCUCCAUUUUAUCUUCUAUAUGUGCUACUUGCUUUAAAUCUAAUCAUUGAUCUUGUAUACUUAACAUCCACAUUACUAUGAUACUCACCUAGUAGAUAUGUUGGAUGUAAGAUUCCCAAUAUGCACUUACUAUAUAACCUUGCCAGUCUUACAACAGUACAACAAAAGAAUAAACUCCACUCAAAACUAAUAUCCUAAUACUGUAAUGAAUGCGCUCACUAAUCAAUCUUCAAGAAACCCGCCAACUAACACAAUCUAUUGAAUCUAUGACGAAGGGUUUCCCAAACACAAACAACUUGGUAGCAAAAUCUUAGAGAAAAAAAGGCCAAUACUAAUAGUUUUAUGUUCUUCAGACGGGUCCCAAUCAUAUGGGUUAAAUAGCAAAAGUUCAGGAAUAACACUAGUGCAGCAAGAGAAUUCAACAUUUAUUCUUGAGUGGUCAAAUGGAAAAGAGAGUAAUAAAAACUAAACAAAAAAUAAAUAGAUACAUUAGUACCUCUCGAGCCUUACUUAUUGGUGAAUCAAGCUCUAGGAUUAAUUGGUUUACCCAUAUUAUGCGAAUAUAGAACAAGCAAAAAGGGGUUUCCUUGAGGCUCAUGAUGAACUAAUUCUGCCUCUGACAAAGAUAUAUUGCAUAAGAUACAAUCAGCUGAUUUUCCCAACAUCAAUAAAAUUAUUUACCAUAUUAGAAAAAGAUACAGUCAGUUGAUAUUCAACAUAUGUUAGUCUUAAGCUACCAAAUAAAGAUUUGAACUGUGGUUCAGAAAAGGAAUAUUCCUGUAGAGACAACCUCAUAAUAGCUUCCACACGAUAGACAAUCAAAUAAAGAAUCCAUCAUGCCGAUGUGAUAGAGAUAAAUCUCUCAGGAAUCUGAUUCCUCUUGCAAGCAUAAAUUAAAUAACCAGUAAGUGACAUCAUUUCAAAAUGCAAAAGUCAUAGGCAAAUAAAAUCAUCCUGUAAAAGCAGUACAAUGGGGAAAAAACUUGAGAGAAUACUCAUUGAAAAAACAGAAAAAUUCAUUUAUCAAAGUAGUCAAAAGCACACAUUAAGAUAUUUUCAUCCAGGAAUUACAAUUGCCUUAAAGGAAAAACUUAGUUUUCCUGAGAAAGAGUAUCUGCGGAAGUACCUAUCUCACUGCAAAGAUAGAAUGUACAUGUUGAACAAAGAUUACCAUCUAAUGCCUUCAGAAGGCAAUAUCAGAUCAAAGAACCUACUUAUUCACUGCUAUACCAACUCCUACCUAAAUGAGUACCCUCAGCUUACUUUAACCUUUGUAACUUGCAAGAGAAAAAUCCGACACUUCAGCAAAUUCGCCAUAGCAACCAGUGGCCAACUACAAGCUAUACCAGUUUGAAU